CCCUUAGAUGUUCUGGGCCGCACGCGCGCUACACUGAUGAAAGCAACAAGUCUAUAACCUUGGUUGAAAGGCCUGGGUAAUCUUGCAAAUUUCAUCGUGAUGGGGAUAGAUUAUUGCAACUAUUAAUCUUCAACGAGGAAUUCCUAGUAAGCGUGAGUCAUCAGCUCGCGUUGAUUACGUCCCUGCCCUUUGUACACACCGCCCGUCGCUCCUACCGAUUGAAUGGUCCGGUGAAAUCUUCGGAUUACCAAACGGAAAGUUUCGGCUUACCGUUUGGUGAAAAGUUGAUUAAACCUUAUCAUUUAGAGGAAGGAGAANUCGUAACA
rnacentral:rRNA from 1 species